GUACUCACUUUGGCAGCACAUACACUAAAAUUGGAACGAUACAGCAAAGAUUAGCAUGGCCCCUGCACAAGGAUGACACACAAAUUCGUGAAGUGUUCCAUAUUUUU
ensembl:snRNA RNU6-80P RNA, U6 small nuclear 80, pseudogene